rnacentral:rRNA from 1 species
UAUUAUAUAUUAAUUUUUACUGAAUAAAUUUAUUAUAAUAUAUUUACAUUAAAAAUGAAAUUUCUAAAAUUAAUAAUAAAAUAAUUUUAAUAAAAUUAGAUUAAAACCAGGAUUAGAUACCCUGUUAUUCUAAUAUUAGAAAUAAUAUUUCAAAAAAAAUGAAAUAGAUUUGACGGUAUUAAUUUUUCCAAAGGAAUUUGUUUCUUAAUCGAAAAUACACGAUAUACCUUACUUAAUAACAUAUUUGUAUACCACCGUAUAUGAAAUUAUAUUAAAAUAAAUUUCAAAAUAAAAUAUUUUAAAAAAUCAGGUCAAGGUGCAAUUUUAUUAAGAUGAAAUGAAUUACAUUGUUUAUAUUUUUAAAUAUAAAUGAAACUUUAUAUAAAUAGAAUUUGUUAGUAAAAUUUUAUUAUAAUGAUUAUUUGAUUUUAAUAUUAAUAUG